AAAGAUUAAGCCAUGCAUGUCUCAGUUUAAACGAUUUAACAGUGAAACCGCGAACGGCUCAUUACAACAGGUAUAAUUUACUUGAUCUUGAAAGUUUCCUACAUGGAUAACUGUGGUAAUUCUAGAGCUAAUACAUGCCCUAAAGCUCUGAACUCGCGUGAAGAGUGCAUUUAUUAGAUCAAAACCAAGCGGUUUCGGCCGUUUACCACUGACUUAAAGUAACUUAGCUGAUCGUAUGGUCUUGUACCGACGACGUAUCUUUCAAGUAUCUGCCUUAUCAACUUUCGAUGGUAGUGUAGUGGACUACCAUGGUUGUGACGGGUAACGGAGGAUAAGGGUUCGACUCCGGAGAGGGAGCUUGAGACACGGCUACCAUGUCUAAGGACAGCAGCAGGCGCGCAAAUUACCCACUCUCAGAACGAGGAGGUAGUGACGAAAAAUAACGAGACCGUUCUCUAUGAGGCCGGUCAUCGGAAUGGGUACAAUCUAAACCCUUUAACGAGUAUCUAUGAGAGGGCAAGUCUGGUGCCAGCAGCCGCGGUAAUUCCAGCUCUCAAAAUGCAUAGAAUUAUUGCUGCGGUUAAAAAGCUCGUAGUUGGAUCUGUGCUGGGAACUUGGUCCGACUUCGGUCGCGUACUAAGCUUCCUGGCUUUUUGCCGGUUUUCUCGUCAUGGCUUUAACCGGUCGUGGCGGGCGGCUGGCGAGUUUACCUUGAAGAAAUCAAAGUGCUUAAUACAGGCGAUUUGCUUGAAUGUGGUGCAUGGAAUAAUAGAAAAGGAUUUCGGUUCUCUUUUAUUGGUUUUAAGAGCUGAGAUAAUGGUUAACAGAGACAAACGGGGGCAUUCGUAUCGUUGCGUGAGAGGUGAAAUUCUUGGACCGCAGCGAGACGAACUACAGCGAAAGCAUUUGCCAAGAAUGUCUUCAUUAAUCAAGAACGAAAGUCAGAGGUUCGAAGGCGAUCAGAUACCGCCCUAGUUCUGACCGUAAACGAUGCCAACUAGCGAUCCGUCGGCGGAUAUAUCGCCCUGAUGGGGAGCUUCCCGGAAACGAAAGUCUUCCGGUUCCGGGGGAAGUAUGGUUGCAAAGCUGAAACUUAAAGGAAUUGACGGAAGGGCACCACCAGGAGUGGAGCCUGCGGCUUAAUUUGACU
rnacentral:rRNA from 1 species